rnacentral:rRNA from 1 species
CAUAAAGCUCUUUUGUCAGUGGAAGAAACACCGGCUCUAACACACUCCGGGAAUGACGGUACCUGAAGAAUAAGCACCGGCUAACUACGUGCCAGCAGCCGCGGUAAUACGUAGGGUGCGAGCGUUAAUCGGAAUUACUGGGCGUAAAGCGUGCGCAGGCGGUUGUACAAGACAGGCGUGAAAUCCCCGGGCUUAACCUGGGAAUGGCGCCUGUGACUGUACGGCUAGAGUGUGUCAGAAGGGGGGUAGAAUUCCACGUGUAGCAGUGAAAUGCGUAGAUAUGUGGAGGAAUACCAAUGGCGAAGGCAGCCCCCUGG